AGAGAAGUUAUCAAGGGCGGACGGGGGAUGCCUAGGCUUCCGGCGGCGAGGAAGGACGCGGCAAGCUGCGAAAAAGUGCGGGGACCUGCAAGCAUGGAUUGAUCCGCACGUGUCCAAAUGGGGCAACCCGGCAGGCUGAAGGCCUGUCACACCGAGAGGUGGGCGAACCCGGGGAACUGAAACAUCUCAGUACCCGGAGGAACAGAAAGAAACAUCGAUUCCCAGAGUAGUGGCGAGCGAAAUGGGAAGAGCCCAAACCGGUCGGGUCGAGGCCCGACCGGGGUAGUAGGGCCGGCGCAAGGUAGGAUCAUCAUGAACCGGAACGGUCUGGAAAGGCCGGACAGAGAGGGUGACAUUCCCGUACGGGCAAGUGGUGAUUCAGGGUGCCGGUACCUGAGUAGGGCGGGACACGAGGAAUCCUGCCUGAAUCCGCGGGGACCAUCCCGCAAGGCUAAAUACGACCGGAAGACCGAUAGUGGACCAGUACCGUGAGGGAAAGGUGGGAAGCACCCCGAGCAGGGGAGUGAAAAAGAACCUGAAACCGUCCGUCUACAAGCGGUUGGAGCUGAGAAGCGACAGCGUGCCUUUUGCAUAAUGAGCCUACGAGUUGGUCCGGGAUGGCGAGGCUAAUCCCUUCAGGGGAGGAGCCGGAGCGAGAGCGAGUCUGAAGAGGGCGUAGAGUCAUUCCGGCCAGACGCGAAACCUAGUGAUCUACCCUUGGCCAGGCUGAAGGGUCCGUAACAGGAUCUGGAGGGCCGAACCGGUUUACGUUGAAAAGUGCUCGGAUGAGCUGAGGGUAGGGGUGAAAGGCUAAUCAAACUGGGAGAUAGCUCGUACUCCCCGAAAUGCCUUUAGGGGCAGCCUCGGGAUAGCUUCACGGAGGUAGAGCUACUGAUAGGAUGAGAGGGCUUCGCCGCCUGUCGAUUCCUGACAAACUCCGAAUGCCGUGAAGUGUUUUCCGGGAGUGAGUCGCCGGGUGCUAAUGUCCGGUGGCGAAAGGGAAAGAGCCCAGACCACCGUCUAAGGACCUAAAGACCGUGCUAAGUUGACAGAACGAGGUGACACCGCAGGGACAGCUAGGAUGUUAGCUUGGAAGCAGCUAUUCAUUUAAAGAGUGCGUAACAGCUCACUAGUCGAGCGGUGACGCGUGGAUGAUGAACGGGCAU
rnacentral:rRNA from 1 species